rnacentral:rRNA from 1 species
AUACGGAGGAUCCAAGCGUUAUCCGGAUUUAUUGGGUUUAAAGGGUGCGCAGGCGGCCUUAUAAGUCAGUGGUGAAAUCUCCUGGCUCAACCGGGAAGCUGCCAUUGAUACUGUAAGGCUAGAAUACAGACGAGGUAGGCGGAAUGUAGCAUGUAGCGGUGAAAUGCUUAGAUAUGCUACAGAACACCGAUCGCGAAGGCAGCUUACCAGACUGUAAUUGACGCUAAGGCACGAAAGCGUGGGGAGCGAACAGGAUUAGAAACCCCAGUAGUCC